rnacentral:rRNA from 1 species
CGAAGGAUGCAAGCGUUAUCCGGAUUCAUUGGGUUUAAAGGGAGCGUAGGUGGCCAAAUAAGUCAGUGGUGAAAUCCUGUUGCUUAACAACAGAAUUGCCAUUGAUACUGUAUGGCUUGAGUACAGUUGCUGUGGGCGGAAUAUGACAUGUAGUGGUGAAAUACAUAGAGAUGUCAUAGAACACCGAUUGCGAAGGCAGCUCACAAAACUGUAACUGACACUGAGGCUCGAAAGUGCGGGGAUCAAACAGGAUUAGAUACCCUGGUAGUCCGCACCGUAAACGAUGAUUACUCGCUGCUGGAGGGCAACCUUCAGUGGCUUAGCAAAAGCGAUAAGUAAUCCACCUGGGGAGUACGCCGGCAACGGUG